GAUUUCUGGCUUGUAACAACUUAUCGGCCACGGUUUCGUGUGUUAGUGUAGGUUGUUCUUGCCAUCCUUCCAAUGGCUAUUCAUCCUUCUUCAUUGAAGGUGUGAGUGGUAUUGGAUCUUUUACUUUGAAAAAAUUAGAGUGUUUCAAGCAGGCUUUAUGCUAUGAAUACAUUAGCAUGGAAUAAUAAUUUAGGACUUCGGUUCUAUUUUGUUGGUUUCUAGGACUGAAGUAAUGAUUGAUAGGGAUAGUUGGGGGUGCUAGUAUUCAGCGGCCAGAGGUGAAAUUCUCGGAUUCGCUGAAGACUAACUUAUGCGAAAGCAUU
rnacentral:rRNA from 1 species